rnacentral:rRNA from 1 species
GGGUUGUGAGGUUAAGCGACUAAGCGUACACGGUGGAUGCCCUGGCAGUCAGAGGCGAUGAAGGACGUGCUAAUCUGCGAUAAGCGUCGGUAAGGUGAUAUGAACCGUUAUAACCGGCGAUUUCCGAAUGGGGAAACCCAGUGUGAUUCGUCACACUAUCAUUAACUGAAUCCAUAGGUUAAUGAGGCGAACCGGGGGAACUGAAACAUCUAAGUACCCCGAGGAAAAGAAAUCAACCGAGAUUCCCCCAGUAGCGGCGAGCGAACGGGGAGCAGCCCAGAGCCUGAAUCAGUGUGUGUGUUAGUGGAAGCGUCUGGAAAGGCGCGCGAUACAGGGUGACAGCCCCGUACACAAAAAUGCACAUGCUGUGAGCUCGAUGAGUAGGGCGGGACACGUGGUAUCCUGUCUGAAUAUGGGGGGACCAUCCUCCAAGGCUAAAUACUCCUGACUGACCGAUAGUGAACCAGUACCGUGAGGGAAAGGCGAAAAGAACCCCGGCGAGGGGAGUGAAAAAGAACCUGAAACCGUGUACGUACAAGCAGUGGGAGCCUCUUAAUGGGGUGACUGCGUACCUUUUGUAUAAUGGGUCAGCGACUUAUAUUCUGUAGCAAGGUUAACCGAAUAGGGGAGCCGAAGGGAAACCGAGUCUUAACUGGGCGUUAAGUUGCAGGGUAUAGACCCGAAACCCGGUGAUCUAGCCAUGGGCAGGUUGAAGGUUGGGUAACACUAACUGGAGGACCGAACCGACUAAUGUUGAAAAAUUAGCGGAUGACUUGUGGCUGGGGGUGAAAGGCCAAUCAAACCGGGAGAUAGCUGGUUCUCCCCGAAAGCUAUUUAGGUAGCGCCUCGUGAAUUCAUCUCCGGGGGUAGAGCACUGUUUCGGCAAGGGGGUCAUCCCGACUUACCAACCCGAUGCAAACUGCGAAUACCGGAGAAUGUUAUCACGGGAGACACACGGCGGGUGCUAACGUCCGUCGUGAAGAGGGAAACAACCCAGACCGCCAGCUAAGGUCCCAAAGUCAUGGUUAAGUGGGAAACGAUGUGGGAAGGCCCAGACAGCCAGGAUGUUGGCUUAGAAGCAGCCAUCAUUUAAAGAAAGCGUAAUAGCUCACUGGUCGAGUCGGCCUGCGCGGAAGAUGUAACGGGGCUAAACCAUGCACCGAAGCUGCGGCAGCGACACUAUGUGUUGUUGGGUAGGGGAGCGUUCUGUAAGCCUGCGAAGGUGUACUGUGAGGUAUGCUGGAGGUAUCAGAAGUGCGAAUGCUGACAUAAGUAACGAUAAAGCGGGUGAAAAGCCCGCUCGCCGGAAGACCAAGGGUUCCUGUCCAACGUUAAUCGGGGCAGGGUGAGUCGACCCCUAAGGCGAGGCCGAAAGGCGUAGUCGAUGGGAAACAGGUUAAUAUUCCUGUACUUGGUGUUACUGCGAAGGGGGGACGGAGAAGGCUAUGUUGGCCGGGCGACGGUUGUCCCGGUUUAAGCGUGUAGGCUGGUUUUCCAGGCAAAUCCGGAAAAUCAAGGCUGAGGCGUGAUGACGAGGCACUACGGUGCUGAAGCAACAAAUGCCCUGCUUCCAGGAAAAGCCUCUAAGCAUCAGGUAACAUCAAAUCGUACCCCAAACCGACACAGGUGGUCAGGUAGAGAAUACCAAGGCGCUUGAGAGAACUCGGGUGAAGGAACUAGGCAAAAUGGUGCCGUAACUUCGGGAGAAGGCACGCUGAUAUGUAGGUGAAGUCCCUUGCGGAUGGAGCUGAAAUCAGUCGAAGAUACCAGCUGGCUGCAACUGUUUAUUAAAAACACAGCACUGUGCAAACACGAAAGUGGACGUAUACGGUGUGACGCCUGCCCGGUGCCGGAAGGUUAAUUGAUGGGGUUAGCGGUAACGCGAAGCUCUUGAUCGAAGCCCCGGUAAACGGCGGCCGUAACUAUAACGGUCCUAAGGUAGCGAAAUUCCUUGUCGGGUAAGUUCCGACCUGCACGAAUGGCGUAAUGAUGGCCAGGCUGUCUCCACCCGAGACUCAGUGAAAUUGAACUCGCUGUGAAGAUGCAGUGUACCCGCGGCAAGACGGAAAGACCCCGUGAACCUUUACUAUAGCUUGACACUGAACAUUGAGCCUUGAUGUGUAGGAUAGGUGGGAGGCUUUGAAGUGUGGACGCCAGUCUGCAUGGAGCCGACCUUGAAAUACCACCCUUUAAUGUUUGAUGUUCUAACGUUGGCCCCUAAUCGGGGUUGCGGACAGUGUCUGGUGGGUAGUUUGACUGGGGCGGUCUCCUCCUAAAGAGUAACGGAGGAGCACGAAGGUUGGCUAAUCCUGGUCGGACAUCAGGAGGUUAGUGCAAUGGCAUAAGCCAGCUUGACUGCGAGCGUGACGGCGCGAGCAGGUGCGAAAGCAGGUCAUAGUGAUCCGGUGGUUCUGAAUGGAAGGGCCAUCGCUCAACGGAUAAAAGGUACUCCGGGGAUAACAGGCUGAUACCGCCCAAGAGUUCAUAUCGACGGCGGUGUUUGGCACCUCGAUGUCGGCUCAUCACAUCCUGGGGCUGAAGUAGGUCCCAAGGGUAUGGCUGUUCGCCAUUUAAAGUGGUACGCGAGCUGGGUUUAGAACGUCGUGAGACAGUUCGGUCCCUAUCUGCCGUGGGCGCUGGAGAACUGAGGGGGGCUGCUCCUAGUACGAGAGGACCGGAGUGGACGCAUCACUGGUGUUCGGGUUGUCAUGCCAAUGGCACUGCCCGGUAGCUAAAUGCGGAAGAGAUAAGUGCUGAAAGCAUCUAAGCACGAAACUUGCCCCGAGAUGAGUUCUCCCUGACUCCCUGAGAGUCCUGAAGGAACGUUGAAGACGACGACGUUGAUAGGCCGGGUGUGUAAGCGCAGCGAUGCGUUGAGCUAACCGGUACUAAUGAACCGUGAGGCUUAACCUUACAACGCCGAAGCUGUU